CAAUAGCGUAUAUUAACGUUGUUGCAGUUGAAAAGCUCGUAGUUGAACUUUUGGUAGGAGCGACCUGGCCUUGGGCGCAUGCCCUUGUUUGCCGUGUGUCGUGUCUGGCCAUCCUUUUCUUCGUUUUUCGGAGGAAUCUUUUACUGUGAGUAAACUGGAGUGCUCAAAACAAGACGUUUGUUUGGUACAUUAAAGCAUGGAAUAAUAAGAUAGGACCUGGUUACUAUUUUGUUGGUUUGCAUAGCUAGGUAAUGAUUAACAGGGACAGUUGGGGGUAUUCGUAUUUAAUUGUCAGAGGUGAAAUUCUUGGAUUUAUGAAAGACGAACGACUGCGAAAGCAUUUACCAAGGAUGUUUNCAUUA
rnacentral:rRNA from 1 species